AAAAUGACAGAUGGCGAGACCUGGACAGGAAAUGCCCUCUUCAGAUUGACCAACCGAGCACCAGCAUCUGGGAAUGCCUGCCUGAAAAGGACAGCUCACUAUGGCACCGGGAGGCAGUGACCGCCUGCGCUGUGACCAGUCUGAUCAAAGACCUCAGCAUCAGCGACCACAACGGGAACCCCUCAGCACCCCCUAGCAAGCGCCAGUGCCGCUCACUGUCCUUCUCCGAUGAGAUGUCCAGUUGCCGGACAUCAUGGAGGCCCUUGGGCUCCAAAGUCUGGACUCCCGUGGAAAAGAGACGCUGCUACAGCGGGGGCAGCGUCCAGCGCUAUUCCAACGGCUUCAGCACCAUGCAGAGGAGUUCCAGCUUCAGCCUCCCUUCCCGGGCCAACGUGCUCUCCUCACCCUGCGACCAGGCAGGACUCCACCACCGAUUUGGAGGGCAGCCCUGCCAAGGGGUGCCAGGCUCAGCCCCGUGUGGACAGGCAGGUGACACCUGGAGCCCUGACCUGCACCCCGUGGGAGGAGGCCGGCUGGACCUGCAGCGGUCCCUCUCUUGCUCACAUGAGCAGUUUUCCUUUGUGGAAUACUGUCCUCCCUCAGCCAACAGCACACCUGCCUCAACACCAGAGCUGGCGAGACGCUCCAGCGGCCUUUCCCGCAGCCGCUCCCAGCCGUGUGUCCUUAACGACAAGAAGGUCGGUGUUAAAAGGCGGCGCCCUGAAGAAGUGCAAGAGCAGAGGCCUUCUCUAGACCUUGCCAAGAUGGCACAG
rnacentral:circRNA from 1 species